UCCUUUUUAGAAAUAAAGUUUUUGAUCGGCAUACGAACCAAGCCGAAGGAUCCCUUAACUGUAUAAAGGGCUAUUAAAACGAUUCAUACUUUUAACACUAU